rnacentral:rRNA from 1 species
AGAGUUUGAUCCUGGCUCAGAUUGAACGCUGGCGGUAUGCCUUACACAUGCAAGUCGAACGGUAGAGGAGCAAUCCUCGAGAGUGGCGAACGGGUGAGUAAUACAUCGGAACGUGCCCAGUCGUGGGGGAUAACGUAGCGAAAGCUACGCUAAUACCGCAUACGACCCGAGGGUGAAAGCGGGGGACUCGCAAGAGCCUCGCGCGAUUGGAGCGGCCGAUGGCAGAUUAGGUAGUUGGUGGGGUAAAGGCCCACCAAGCCUGCGAUCUGUAGCUGGUCUGAGAGGACGACCAGCCACACUGGGACUGAGACACGGCCCAGACUUCUACGGGAGGCAGCAGUGGGGAAUUUUGGACAAUGGGCGAAAGCCUGAUCCAGCCAUACCGCGUGCGGGAAGAAGGCCUUCGGGUUGUAAACCGCUUUUGUCAGGGAAGAAAUACUUCGGGCUAAUACCCUGGGGUGAUGACGGUACCUGAAGAAUAAGCACCGGCUAACUACGUGCCAGCAGCCGCGGUAAUACGUAGGGUGCAAGCGUUAAUCGGAAUUACUGGGCGUAAAGCGUGCGCAGGCGGUUCUAUAAGACAGAUGUGAAAUCCCCGGGCUCAACCUGGGAACUGCAUUUGUGACUGUAGAGCUAGAGUAC